rnacentral:rRNA from 1 species
AGGAAUAUUGGUCAAUGGGCGAGAGCCUGAACCAGCCAAGUAGCGUGAAGGAUGACUGCCCUAUGGGUUGUAAACUUCUUUUAUAAAGGAAUAAAGUCGGGUAUGGAUACCCGUUUGCAUGUACUUUAUGAAUAAGGAUCGGCUAACUCCGUGCCAGCAGCCGCGGUAAUACGGAGGAUCCGAGCGUUAUCCGGAUUUAUUGGGUUUAAAGGGAGCGUAGAUGGAUGUUUAAGUCAGUUGUGAAAGUUUGCGGCUCAACCGUAAAAUUGCAGUUGAUACUGGAUAUCUUGAGUGCAGUUGAGGCAGGCGGAAUUCGUGGUGUAGCGGUGAAAUGCUUAGAUAUCACGAAGAACUCCGAUUGCGAAGGCAGCCUGCUAAGCUGCAACUGACAUUGAGGCUCGAAAGUGUGGGUAUCAAACAGGAUUAGAUACCCUGGUAGUCCACACGGUAAACGAUGAAUACUCGCUGUUUGCGAUAUACUGCAAGCGGCCAAGCGAAAGCGUUAAGUAUUCCACCUGGGGAGUACGCCGGCAACGGUGAAACUCAAAGGAAUUGACGGGGGCCCGCACAAGCGGAGGAACAUGUGGUUUAAUUCGAUGAUACGCGAGGAACCUUACCCGGGCUUAAAUUGCAGAUGAAUUACGGUGAAAGCCGUAAGCCGCAAGGCAUCUGUGAAGGUGCUGCAUGGUUGUCGUCAGCUCGUGCCGUGAGGUGUCGGCUUAAGUGCCGUAACGAGCGCAACCCUUGUUGUCAGUUACUAACAGGUUUUGCUGAGGACUCUGACAAGACUGCCAUCGUAAGAUGUGAGGAAGGUGGGGAUGACGUCAAAUCAGCACGGCCCUUACGUCCGGGGCUACACACGUGUUACAAUGGGGGGUACAGAGGGCCGCUACCACGCGAGUGGAUGCCAAUCCCCAAAACCUCUCUCAGUUCGGACUGGAGUCUGCAACCCGACUCCACGAAGCUGGAUUCGCUAGUAAUCGCGCAUCAGCCACGGCGCGGUGAAUACGUUCCCG